rnacentral:lncRNA from 1 species
UGAGCAUUUGGGCUGUCCAAUUCUUGGAUGAUGAAAAAAAAAAAGGAGGAUUUAGCACCUCAGAAUGCAGAAAUCGGAUUUACUCAAAAGUAGUCAGAGAUUCAGAGUCUCAACAAGUCAGCAGUCAGCUUACUGUAAAAAAAGGGGGCCAAUUUCACAAGAGUGGAGAAGGUUGUGCUAGACAGCAGAUAUAAAAUUGUUGCUUUGGACAUGCGUUAGGCGUGGGUAUGUAGGUGGGUGAUCGCGACGGAGACCAUUCUCUUUUCCAGCUAGCAGCCACAGCGUCGACUGAAGAACGUCCAGACUCUGUUGCAGUCGUCGGAAACCUUGCCAUCCUGCCACACCACACAGCGGAAAAACAAAACACACACACGCACACACCAAAGAAUGGUCAAUCCUGCUAGUGGCGAACAAAGUCGGAACAUCAUUUUUAAGAUAAACACAAAGAUUAUGCAAACUAGUAAUAGGCAAAAGAUUCCUAGGAUGCACCCAGGGGCGGACCUAGGAGGGCUCUAGCCUGCCUACUGCCCAAGACCUUCAUUAGAUCAAAGGAGGAAGAUGAGAAGAAGAGAGGGGAAAAAAGAAGAAGAAUAAGAGAAAGAAAUAGCUUAUUGCCCAACCAUAGUGCAUAAAGAAGAGUUUUCUCUUUCCUCUACUCUCUCUCCUACUACACGAGUAGAAUAAAUAGCUGCCGCUUGUUGAUGUUUUUUACAUAAGCAUCGAGAAAGUGAACCACAAUUUUUGUUUACUAUAAAGAUACGUAGCUUUCCUGCGUAUUCUCGAACGAAAAAGAAAGGAACCACGAUAAAAAUCCAUCUGUUCAUGGGUCCCGGCUUGUAUUAUUGGGCAACAGCCAUCGCCCUUGACCUUAGGAAAAAAGGGAAGCAUCGGGGACCGUCACCACUGAGAAAACGAAUCAACGCUCCUCAUCUUCCUUCCCAUUUCCGUCAGCAUGACAGCUGACAGCGCUUAAAGAUUCAUUUCCAACAGCAUGACAGCAUUGAAAGAUUCAUCGAUCGGCAAGACUGUAGAAUUGAUGAAUAAAUGAAUAAUUGGACUAAGAGUGACCGAUGCGGUUACUUCAGCAUUAUACCUGUAUUUUGAUAAGCAAUUUGCUCUUCACAAGUCCCUCAUCCAAGAGCAAGCAACGGCGUCGCUCGCCGGCCGCCGGCCAUGGCAUCCCGGUUUUUCUUUCUUGUCGUUGCCGUCGUGGCCCGGCUCUGCAGCGCCGCUAUGGCGAC